UACGUAGGGUCCGAGCGUUUGUCCGGAAUUAUUGGGCGUAAAGGGCUCGUAGGCGGUUUGUCACGUCGGGAGUGAAAACUCAGGGCUCAACCCUGAGCGUGCUUCCGAUACGGGCAGACUAGAGGUAUGCAGGGGAGAACGGAAUUCCUGGUGUAGCGGUGGAAUGCGCAGAUAUCAGGAGGAACACCGGUGGCGAAGGCGGUUCUCUGGGCAUUACCUGACGCUGAGGAGCGAAAGCAUGGGGAGCGAACAGG
rnacentral:rRNA from 1 species